UGCGACCUCAGGUCGGCGGGGGCUAA
rnacentral:rRNA from 1 species